GCUGCAGUAGCCUAGUGGUCAUGGUCGCGUAUUCGUGAUAGGCGUUGUCGAGUCUUUGGUUCGAAUCCUGAUGCAACA